AGAACUACCUAUUUUCAGGGAUAGAAAUAAGUUCAGAUAUAAGCCUGGGAUAAACUAAUUUUGCAUUUGAAUGGAAAUUGAGUUGUUACCAAGAAUAAGAAAAGUAGCAUUUGGAUAGAUAAGAUGGAAUAAGAAUAAUAGUAGGUAGUUAUAAAUAGAAAAUAAUAAUAUUGUCCUUUAUAUUAUAUUUAAAUUUAAAUUUUAAAAUUUUAUAUUUAAAAUUUUAAAUUUAAAUAUAUAACUUUUAAAUUUUUAAAUUUUAAAUUUAAAUUUAAAUUUUUAAAUCUCAAAUUCGAAAAUGCAAAAUUCUAAAUUUUAAAGUUUAAAUUUUAAAUUUAAGAUUAAAUCUAAAUUUAAAAAUAUAAAAUAUCAAAUUUUAAAUUUAAAUAAAAUUAAAAUAUUAGUUUAAAAUUUAAAUUUUAAAAUUUUAAUUUUAAGAUUAUAAAUUAUAAAUUUUUAAAAUUUAAAAUUUAAAUUUAAAUUUCUUAAAAAAUUAAAUUGGAGUGGAAUUAGCUAAUCCCAUCCCAAUUUCAGAAGUCUCCCCUAAGCAAGGGAUAAUCCGUUAGGAGUGGGGUUAGUUGACCCC
rnacentral:lncRNA from 1 species